GACGAACGCUGGCGGCGUGCUUAACACAUGCAAGUCGAACGGAAAGGCCCUGCUUUUGUGGGGUGCUCGAGUGGCGAACGGGUGAGUAACACGUGAGUAACCUGCCCUUGACUUUGGUAUAACUUCAGGAAACUGGGGCUAAUACCGGAUAGGAGCUCCUGCUGCAUGGUGGGGGUUGGAAAGUUUCGGCGGUUGGGGAUGGACUCGCGGCUUAUCAGCUUGUUGGUGGGGUAGUGGCUUACCAAGGCUUUGACGGGUAGCCGGCCUGAGAGGGUGACCGGCCACAUUGGGACUGAGAUACGGCCCAGACUCCUACGGGAGGCAGCAGUGGGGAAUAUUGCACAAUGGGAGGAAGCCUGAUGCAGCAACGCCGCGUGCGGGAUGACGGCCUUCGGGUUGUAAACCGCUUUCGCCUGUGACGAAGCGUGAGUGACGGUAAUGGGUAAAGAAGCACCGGCUAACUACGUG
rnacentral:rRNA from 1 species